rnacentral:rRNA from 1 species
CCUACGGGAGGCAGCAGUGGGGAAUAUUGGGCAAUGGGCGCAAGCCUGACCCAGCAAUGCCGCGUGAAGGAAGAAGGCUUUCGGGUUGUAAACUUCCUUGUCAGGGGAAGAGCAGAAGACGGUACCCUGAAAACAAGCUACGGCUAACUACGUGCCAGCAGCUGCGGUAAUACGUAGGUGGCAAGUGUUGUCCGGAUUGACUGGGUGUAAAGGGCGUGUAGCCGGGAAGGCAAGUCAGAUGUGAAAUCUGGAGGCUCAACCUCCAAAUUGCAUUUGAAACUGUUUUUCUUGAGUACUGGAGAGGCAGACGGAAUUCCUUGUGUAGCGGUGAAAUGCGUAGAUAUAAGGAGGAACACCAAUGGCGAAGGCAGUCUGCUAAACAGCAACUGACGGUGAGGCGCGAAAGCGUGGGGAGCAAACAGGAUUAGAUACCCGAGUAGUC